UCUCGGCUGCCUUCACAAAACGUCAGAGUUCAAGCCGUACUCGUGUUACCGUACGUGUCAUUGCUUUUAUUCAUUACUGUGUGGGCAGAAACCACCACGUUUACAUCGCAUUAGUCAGAAGAGCUAAAGAAGUGAUGCUGUGCUGGGAUGCAAUGUUCGUUUAGGCAGCUAAUGCUCGGGGCACAUGCCUCCAGCCCCAUGGCUUUAAGCAGGAGCUGAAAGGCCUUGGUGAGCUCCACAGCUGCUGUGCUUUUGGCCAAAUCACGCUUCUUUUCAGGGCCUUUAAAGGUGUGGUUUGGGGGCUUUGAACCUUGCUCUAGCAAGGUGUGGGUGUAGAGGAGAGUAUGGGAGGGUGAAUGUGCUCCCAAGUGAGGUCCAAGACAAAUACUAGAGCUUCACCUCCACCUUUGCAGGGACGUGGAAGAUCAGGUAGCCUGCCUGCUGGAGGGACUCAUUCAGAGACUUGUUGAUCAGGCCUGCUGUGGAUUGCUGUGCUGCAUGGAUGUUAUCUUUCUUAUUCCCUACCUUGCAAAAUGGCCUCAAGAUGGUUUUGAAAUGAACACAAGUGACUCUCCUGAAAAUGUUAUCGUAUUGUGGUUACUAACAGCUGCAGAAGAACACCUCGCUUCUUCCUUUUGUUAUUAAACAUUUGUUCAUGCAUCGGUAUCUUGCUGUCAAACCCUCAGUUUGGUACUGUGGGGGAAAAUGGCCAUCCUGUAAAGCACUUGGCCAGCAGGAUCGUACCCAGACAGGUACAUGCAAAGUGGCCUCCUGACCCCUCUUUUGGACAACCAGCACGAGCAGCACUGCAGGAAAGCAUCCACAUUCUGCAGCACUUCAUACCCCAGUGAUACUGAGCUCUACCCAUUCCUUUUUAGUGAAAAAUCUUCAGGAAUCAGUGGCAGGCAGUGAUGAAAGGCUAAGAACAAACCACGAGAAACCUUGGGGUUAGCCGAGGAACACUCGGUGUGUGUCAGCUGCCACCUAACCUGGUGCCAACGCCAGAAAAGGGGACUUCAAACGCUACGAGGAUGAGUCAGGGCAGCCGGAGCUGCCGUGCCACACACUGAGGCUGAGAGCUGUAACAAACCCGUGUGUCCUCUGUGGGUUAGGUACAAAGCGGAUGGGCCGGCAGGUUAUGAUGCAUGCAUGCAUCAAAGGUAAUAAAUAUUGGAACAAAUCCCCAGCCACCCAGGACCUUUGGACUUGUCGAU